rnacentral:rRNA from 1 species
UAGGGAAUCUUCGGCAAUGGACGAAAGUCUGACCGAGCAACGCCGCGUGAGUGAAGAAGGUUUUCGGAUCGUAAAACUCUGUUGUUAGAGAAGAACAAGGACGUUAGUAACUGAACGUCCCCUGACGGUAUCUAACCAGAAAGCCACGGCUAACUACUUGCCAGCAGCCGCGGUAAUACGUAGGUGGCAAGCGUUGUCCGGAUUUAUUGGGCGUAAAGCGAGCGCAGGCGGUUUCUUAAGUCUGAUGUGAAAGCCCCCGGCUCAACCGGGGAGGGUCAUUGGAAACUGGGAGACUUGAGUGCAGAAGAGGAGAGUGGAAUUCCAUGUGUAGCGGUGAAAUGCGUAGAUAUAUGGAGGAACACCAGUGGCGAAGGCGGCUCUCUGGUCUGUAACUGCCGCUGAGGCUCGAAGCGUGGGGAGCAAACAGG